UACGUAGGGGGCAAGCGUUGUCCGGAAUCAUUGGGCGUAAAGAGCGUGUAGGCGGCUCGAUAAGUCCGCUGUGAAAGUCCAGGGCUCAACCCUGGAAGGCCGGUGGAAACUGUCGGGCUAGAGUCCGGCAGAGGAGACUGGAAUUCCUGGUGUAGCAGUGAAAUGCGUAGAUAUCAGGAGGAACACCGAUGGCGAAGGCAGGUCUCUGGGCUGACACGUGACGCUCAUGCACGAAAGCGUGGGAGCAAACAGG
rnacentral:rRNA from 1 species